CUACGGGAUGCACCAGUGGGGAAUAUUGCACAAUGGAGGAAACUCUGAUGCAGCAACGCCGCGUGGAGGAUGACACUUUUCGGAGCGUAAACUCCUUUUAUAUAGGAAGAUAAUGACGGUACUAUAUGAAUAAGCACCGGCUAACUCCGUGCCAGCAGCCGCGGUAAUACGGAGGGUGCAAGCGUUACUCGGAAUCACUGGGCGUAAAGAGCGUGUAGGCGGGUUAAUAAGUCAGAAGUGAAAUCCUAUGGCUGAACCAUAGAACUGCUUUUGAAACUGUUAACCUAGAGUGUGGGAGAGGUAGAUGGAAUUUCUGGUGUAGGGGUAAAAUCCGUAGAGAUCAGAAGGAAUACCGAUUGCGAAGGCGAUCUACUGGAACAUAACUGACGCUGAGACGCGAAAGCGUGGGGAGCAAACAGGAUUAGAUACCCGGGUAGUC
rnacentral:rRNA from 1 species